rnacentral:misc_RNA from 1 species
AACUGAUACUACCUGCGGGAACCUGCGGAAGGAUCAUUACCGAGUUUACAAAACUCCCAAACCCUUUGUGAACCUUACCUAUCGUUGCUUCGGCGGGACCGCCCCGGCGCCCUCGCGGCCCGGAACCAGGCGCCCGCCGGAGGCCCCAAACCCUCAUGUCUUUAGUGGUUUCCUCCUCUGAGUGACAUAAACAAAUAAAGUAAAAACUUUUAGCAAUGGAUCUCUAGAUCGGAAGAGCAC